rnacentral:rRNA from 1 species
AUUAGCUAGUUGGUGGGGUAAAGGCCUACCAAGGCGACGAUCUGUAGCGGGUCUGAGAGGAUGAUCCGCCACACUGGGACUGAGACACGGCCCAGACUCCUACGGGAGGCAGCAGUGGGGAAUAUUGGACAAUGGGGGGAACCCUGAUCCAGCCAUGCCGCGUGUGUGAAGAAGGCCUUUUGGUUGUAAAGCACUUUAAGCGAGGAGGAGGCUCUCUUGGUUAAUACCUGAGAAGAGUGGACGUUACUCGCAGAAUAAGCACCGGCUAACUCUGUGCCAGCAGCCGCGGUAAUACAGAGGGUGCGAGCGUUAAUCGGAUUUACUGGGCGUAAAGCGCGCGUAGGUGGUUAAUUAAGUCAAAUGUGAAAUCCCCGAGCUUAACUUGGGAAUUGCAUUCGAUACUGGUUAGCUAGAGUAUGGGAGAGGAUGGUAGAAUUCCAGGUGUAGCGGUGAAAUGCGUAGAGAUCUGGAGGAAUACCGAUGGCGAAGGCAGCCAUCUGGCCUAAUACUGACACUGAGGUGCGAAAGCAUGGGGAGCAAACAGGAUUAGAUACCCUGGUAGUCCAUGCCGU